UGUAAUAUAUUCGUGACGAUGAUAUGCAAUAUAGUUGUUCCUUUAUUGUUGUGUAUGUACCAUCCAAUUUAGUGCAAAACAAGAAUUAAAAAGUGCCCAAAAACAAAUAAAUGGGAAAAUAGGGGGCAGCAAAAUAGCCCCGGUUCGUAAUACGAACCGGGACUAAUACCCGUCCCCCCUCGCUCCCAGCCCCGCCACGUGGAUGGUCAUUAGCCCUGGUUCGGGGCUGAACCGGGGUUAGCAUUAGUCCCUGUUCUUUGUCCCGGUUCGUGAACCGGGACUAAUGGCCCAACCGAACCGGGGCUAUAGGCCCUUUUUCUACUAGUGUUGAGGAGACAUCUUGAGCCAUCAAUGAGAAAAGAAGAACCAAGACAACACCAAGAGCACGCAGCUCACCACACCACAUCGGCAGCCAUGGGAGGGCCUUGAGCAAACCAUCAAUAUGGGUGAGACACCUUCACGAGGGGGAAACAGAUGGCCAUCUCGCGAUGCCAAGGCACCGCCGCUGAUCUCCAGGAACACCGCCGAACAAUCACCGUCGACCCCAAACCGGCCGCACCACCACCACCGUCAAACCAACACCGGUCCCCAACUGAUCCCUAAUCCCAAAAUGAUACCCACAAG
rnacentral:lncRNA from 1 species